rnacentral:misc_RNA from 1 species
GAAAUGCGAUAAGUAGUGUGAAUUGCAGAAUUCAGUGAAUCAUCGAAUCUUUGAACGCACAUUGCGCCCUUUGGUAUUCCAAAGGGCAUGCCUGUUCGAGCGUCAUUUGUACCUUCAAGCUUUGCUUGGUGUUGGGCGUCUUGUCUCUAGCUUUGCUGGAGACUCGCCUUAAAGUAAUUGGCAGCCGGCCUACUGGUUUCGGAGCGCAGCACAAGUCGCACUCUCUAUCAGCAAAGGUCUAGCAUCCAUUAAGCCUUUUUUCAACUUUUGACCUCGGAUCAGGUAGGGAUACCCGCUGAACUUAAGC